AUUAUUGAGGGUAAAAUAGUUAAUAUGUAUGACAGAUAUUUAGCUAUCCACUUUCUCCAAAACAUUCUAGAAACAAUUUCUAACCAGAACAAUGAACGGCUGCUUUCAUCAUCAUUCUCGGCGGAAACACAACAACAAUAAAAAAUAAUAGUACAGUGAAGAGAUCCAUUUCUGACAAAGUUACGGAAGGCUGUCAUGUGACCUUUGUAUUCAGAUCUAGUGAGUCAUCCAGAUCUUUUGAGUUUGCAGUUAUUCUUAUCACGCUCUUUUUAUUCUUCGAUCUACUGGUCAUCAAGAUUUAUUGUUGGUGGUUGUGUCAGAGUUCUCAAUACAGUGAUGUCAUAUUCUAUGACGACACUAGACGAUGGAAAUAUUACAUCUGGUCAGUGUUUCUUUCAAUCUUUUAGUGAAUGUGAACUUUUGUGUUUAUGCCAAGAGUGUUAAUACUCUAUUUCCACAAACAAAUGUUACUGAACUUCCUAUAAUUUCUUCAAAAGAUGAUGGGGAACCAUGAGAUAGAAGAACAAGCUGGAAAUUAGAUAUUUGCAGAAUAUGUUCUCGCUUUGCUUCACAUCAAAAGAAAGUAGAUCAUCAACACUGUUUUACUAUUCUUUUACUGCAGGAGGCAUACACUUCAUCAUGCUCGAGGGAUAUGUCGCCUAUUAUAAAUCAAGUAAACUAAAGCUCAAGCUAUCUUCAAUUUUAUGAUCAAUACAAGUGGUUGGAGAAGAACCUGGCUAAGGUUGAUAGGAUAGUAACUCCAUGGCUGGUUGCCACUUGGCAUCCUCCGUGGUACUCUACUUACACGGCACAUUAUCGAGAAGCUAAAUGCAUGAAGGUAGCGAUGGAAGAGUUGUUGUACGAGUAUGGUGUCAUAUUAGUCUUCAAUUGUCACGUGAUGGUGGAAACCGUGAGAAGAUGGCCAUAGAACAUGCUGAUGAGCCUGGCAAAUGUCCUAAACUAUCUAAUGCAUCAGACAAAUUUAUGGGCAGAUUCUGUGCCUCUAAUUUUACAUCAGGUCCAGCAGCCGGCAAUUUCUGCUGGGAUCAACAACCUGAAUAUAGUGCAUAUAGAGAAAGUAGCUUCAGACAUGGAAUAUUCGAGUUGAUGUAUACAAAGAUGGGAGAUUGAAAUGUUUGAGCGAAGUCCAUAUUCAUUGUUUGAAGAUUUUAAACCUUUUUCAGUCGGGUUAAACUAUCAUCAUCACAAUUCACAAGUAGCUAUGUGAUCUCUUUUAAAGGAAGCUUUUGCAGAUUUUGAAGAACUGAUAUUAUUUUUGUGGUAGCUUUAUCAUUAUUGACUGUAAUGGUUCAGAUUCGAAUUAUCUUGUGGCCCUAGUGUUAUCUUGUGGCUAGUAUUGUUAGUUUAUUUUGCAUACUGUAUAAGCUUAUAUGAAUUUUUGUUUUGUGUUUGUUAUAUUAUUAUUGGUUCUAA